rnacentral:rRNA from 1 species
UACGGAGGGGGCCAGCGUUGUUCGGAAUUAUUGGGCGUAAAGGGCGCGUAGGCGGUCGAGUAAGUCUGACGUGAAAUCCCUUGGCUCAACCAAGGAACUGCGUCUUAAACUGCUCGGCUUGAGUCCGGGAGAGGGUAGUGGAAUUCCCAGUGUAGCGGUGAAAAUGCGUAGAUAUUGGGAGGAACACCGGUGGCGAAGGCGGCUACCUGGACCGGUACUGACGCUGAGGCGCGAAAGCUAGGGUAGCAAACAGG